UGGAGUGUGGCUUAGCGGCAGAGUGCUCGCCUGGCACGUGUGAGGCGCUGGGUUAGAUCCUCAGCACCACAU
rnacentral:tRNA from 1 species